ACCUGGAUGGCUCAGUCAGUUGAGCAUCUGACUUCAGCUCAGGUCAUGAUCUCGCGGUUCAUGGGUUCAAGCCCCAUGUUGGGCU
rnacentral:tRNA from 1 species